rnacentral:rRNA from 1 species
UACGUAGGGUGCAAGCGUUAAUCGGAAUUACUGGGCGUAAAGCGCACGUAGGCGGUUUUGUAAGUCUGUCGUGAAAUCCCCGGGCUCAACCUGGGAAUUGCGAUGGAGACUGCAAGGCUAGAAUCUGGCAGAGGGGGGUAGAAUUCCACGUGUAGCAGUGAAAUGCGUAGAGAUGUGGAGGAACACCGAUGGCGAAGGCAGCCCCCUGGGUCAAGAUUGACGCUCAUGCACGAAAGCGUGGGGAGCAAACAGG